UACGUAGGGUGCGAGCGUUAGUCGGAAUUACUGGGCGUAAAGCGUGCGCAGGCGGGCUUUUAAGCCAGACGUGAAAUCCCCGGGCUUAACCUGGGAAUGGCGUUUGGGACUGGAAGUCUGGAGUGCGGCAGAGGAGACUGGAAUUCCUGGUGUAGCAGUGAAAUGCGUAGAUAUCAGGAGGAACACCGAUGGCGAAGGCAGGUCUCUGGGCUGACACUGACGCUCAUGCACGAAAGCGUGGGGAGCAAACAGG
rnacentral:rRNA from 1 species